ensembl:lncRNA
CUUUUCCUCAAGUUUAUCUCGGCUACUGUUCUGAGAGGAAUAAGACACAAUUUACCUCAGAUGAAGAAGCGCUGAGAGAAAUAAGCUUUGGAUUUUCAUCAGAAGAAUGCGGCGGCUUGAUAUCCAGUGGAGGAUAUCAUUUACACAAUGGUUGAAGAUUGUCCCAAAGCGCUUUCCGUACUUGCAAUUUCGCACAUGCACGGGACGACGCAUCCAUUUUCCACCUGUCCUUGGCCAACUUUUGUAAAUCUGUUAUCAUCCAUAAAUUAUUUGGCUCUGAAUGUGGAGGUGCAAACAGUUAAACUUAAAACUCAUUCGAAGUCGAAGUCAUGUUGAUGUUUUACAUUUAAGGACUACAGAGAGCCAGGUAAAUGCAGAAUUCACCCUCAUCACCACAGUCCCCCGUUCUCAACCUUUAUGUCCCGACUGGAUCAUUACUAUAGCCAGCUAUUGAGGGUAUUCAAAAAGAAGGGGGGAACAGCAAGACGUGAUAUCGACAUAAUCAUUGCAGAAAUGGACAUGAAUCCCAGUGUUGAAGUACGACAGACAUGCAUCCUAAAGGCGUUGUGCGUCUACUUAAAUGAAAAGCCUGACAGCCUUAUUAAGGAGUACUGGGCUACUGAGGAUAUUGGUAUUGAUGCAAUGACAGAAAUGGAGAGACUGGCUUUGGGUGUCUACAUUGUUCGAUAUGAUGGAGCAGAUGCUUCAGAUCCACCUGAGGAUGUUGGCGUCGUCAUUGAAGGCUGCACAGUGCUGCGAGAUCUGAGAGAGGUUGCAAAUGGAUGUGCAGUCCUGUUUGGCUUGAUCUAGUGUUUAAACUUGAGCUAUCCCAAGGAGCUGCGAUACACUUUCGAAUUUCUUCAGAAAGUGUCUAUGGAAUUGGAUGGGAACAAGCUCUCCACUAAAGUGCAGGUCCUCAAAAACAAACUGCAUGAGUAAAAUCACCUGCACCAGACAAGACUGGACCUGGCUUUGGACACUUUAAUUGUGUUGACUGUUACUUUAUUUUUGGACUGCUGCUAGACAAAAUAAAGCUGUGAUCAAUGAUGGUUUGUAAUAAGCAGACAGGACUGCAGUUGGUCAUCGACUUGCUUGGGGAGGCUCAGUUCUUUGGAUUUUGGACUGCUGCUAGACAAAACAUCUAGCAAUCUAAAGACAAUGUUGGUUGUGGUAAUUGGCAUUUAAACUUCUCUUGUUUUCUGAUUUCUUCAGAAUCAAAAGAUGUGAAAUACAACAAACACUGGUUUGUUAUAAUGAAACCAUCUCAAACAAUUUAAGGUGAAGAUUGUUUUUUGUUAUGUAAACAUUGCUGAUUUUCUAUUUCUCCUGUUGAUGCAAACUAUAAACCUUGUAUUUUUCAUAAAAAUGUUCUUGAUAAGUCAGCAUGUAUGUAAAGUCUGAACUUAGUAUGUUCUAACGGUGAAGUGCGAAUUUUCUGCAGCAUAAAUCCUCUUGAUUGUAAACUUCAGUUAAUUUAACCUCCCUCCAUAUAGAAAACAAGGAUUUGCCUCUUUAGUUUUUAUUUCAGUAGGCAACACCUGUUAGACAUUGUUGACGUCAAAGUUCAGAUUUACUAUAAAGCUGUAAUGGGAUUGAACAUUAUCGGAUGGUGAAAGAUUCACAGACAAGUUUUAUAUUUUAUAUAUAUAUAUAUUUUUUUUUAUAGUGGUCUAUUCUUUGCACAUCUUUUUUUUUUUUUUUUUUUUGGAAUUCAUCCUUUUAAUGGGAAUUGAAACAUGUGAAGUGCUAAAGUCUACUGAGGCCUCAAGGUAAAAAAAAAAUAUUUGUUUAAAAAUAUAUUUUGUUCUUGGCAGGAGUUUGGCUCUCAAAAUUUCAACUAAAAUGGAAUGGUUAAAUAUAUUAGGCUACUGCAUAUACAUGAUUAUUUAGGCUCAUUGUGUUUCUGACAGUUUAAAAAAAAAGAAGGAUAAAUUACUGUAUAUCUCAUUGUCCCAAUGCCAAUGAUGUAUUUUGUGAUAAAAUUUGAUGAGACACAUCAAAUGAAAUCUGGCACAUAGUGGACAUGCAGUGCAACAAUCAUUUUUCCAUAUAUUUGAAAGUCAUGUUAGUCCGAGUUGUCAAAUUGUUUUUUUUUUCCUUGAGAAAAGUUUAUAGUUAAAGGAGUUUAUUAAGCUAAAAAACAAUAAGGAUUUGCCUCUAUUUUUUAUUGCGGCAGGCAAUACAUGUUAAACAUUCUUGAUGUUGUCAAAGUUCAGAUUCACUUUUGGGACUAUAAAGCUAUAAUGGGAUUUAACAUUAUCAGAUGGUGAAAGAGAUUCACAAACAAGUUUUAUAUUUUUGAAUUAUUAUUUAUAUUGAUCUAUUU